UAAAGCGUGCGCAGGCGGUUUGUAAGACUGUCGUGAAAUCCCCGGGCUCAACCUGGGAAUGGCGAUGGUGACUGCAAGGCUAGAGUUUGGCAGAGGGGGGUAGAAUUCCACGUGUAGCAGUGAAAUGCGUAGAUAUGUGGAGGAACACCGAUGGCGAAGGCAGCCCCCUGGGUCAAAACUGACGCUCAUGCACGAAAGCGUGGGGAGCAAACAGGAUUAGAUACCCGGGU
rnacentral:rRNA from 1 species